GCUCGGCAGCAAUCUAACAAUGAUUUCAGUGGUUAUGAUGUCUGCUUUACAUGUCAGAUGUGAAGCGCAGAAGGUCGGGAGUUCGAUCCUCCCCGCUCGUAGCA